rnacentral:rRNA from 1 species
AGAGUUUGACAUGGCUCAGAACGAACGCUGGCGGCAUGCCUAACACAUGCAAGUCGAACGAGACCUUCGGGUCUAGUGGCGCACGGGUGCGUAACGCGUGGGAAUCUGCCCUUUGCUUCGGAAUAACAGUUAGAAAUGACUGCUAAUACCGGAUGAUGUCUUCGGACCAAAGAUUUAUCGGCAAAGGAUGAGCCCGCGUAGGAUUAGGUAGUUGGUGGGGUAAAGGCCUACCAAGCCGACGAUCCUUAGCUGGUCUGAGAGGAUGAUCAGCCACACUGGGACUGAGACACGGCCCAGACUCCUACGGGAGGCAGCAGUGGGGAAUAUUGGACAAUGGGCGCAAGCCUGAUCCAGCAAUGCCGCGUGAGUGAUGAAGGCCUUCGGGUCGUAAAGCUCUUUACCAGGGAUGAUAAUGACAGUACCUGGAGAAUAAGCUCCGGCUAACUCCGUG